rnacentral:rRNA from 1 species
AGCAGUCGCCGCGGGAAUACGGAGGGUGCGAGCGUUAUCCGGAUUCACUGGGUUUAAAGGGUGCGCAGGCGGGCGUGUAAGUCAGCGGUGAAAUCUGGGGGCUCAACCCCCAAACUGCCGUUGAUACUAUGCGCCUUGGAUGUCGUUGAGGCCAGCGGAAUGGGGCAUGUAGCGGUGAAAUGCAUAGAUAUGCCCCGGAACACCGAUUGCGAAGGCAGCUGGCUAAGCGACGAUCGACGCUGAGGCACGAAAGCGUGGGUAGCGAACAGGAUUAGAUACCCGAGUAGUCCCUGUCUCUUAUAC